CCUACGGGUGACUGCAGUGGGGAAUAUUGGUCAAUGGGCGCAAGCCUGACCCAGCAACGCCGCGUGAAGGAAGAAGGCUUUCGGGUUUUAAACUUCUUUUCUCAGGGACGAAGCAAGUGACGGUACCUGAGGAAUAAGCCACGGCUAACUACGUGCAAGCAGCCGCGGUAAUACGUAGGUGGCAGGCGUUAUCCGGAUUUACUGGUUGUAAAGGGCGUGUAGGCGGGACUGCAAGUCAGAUGUGAAAACCAUGGGCUCAACCUAUGGCCUGCAUUUGAAACUGUAGUUCUUGAGUACUGGAGAGGCAGACGGAAUGCCUAGUGUAGCGGUGAAAUGCGUAGAUAUUAGGAGGAACACCAGUGGCGAAGGCGGUCUGCUGGACAGCAACUGACGCUGAGGCGCGAAAGCGUGGGGAGCAAACAGGAUUAGAUACCCGAGUAGUC
rnacentral:rRNA from 1 species